UACGGAGGAUGCAAGCGUUAUCCGGAUUUAUUGGGUUUAAAGGGUGCGCAGGUUGUUUGAUAAGUCAGUGGUGAAAGUCUGUCGCUUAACGGUAGGAUUGCCAUUGAUACUGUUGGACUUGAAUAUGGAUGAGGUAGGCGGAAUGUGUAGUGUAGCGGUGAAAUGCAUAGAUAUUACACAGAACACCGAUUGCGAAGGCAGCUUACUAAUCCAUCAUUGACGCUGAGGCACGAAAGACGUGGGGAGUCAAACAA
rnacentral:rRNA from 1 species